rnacentral:rRNA from 1 species
GAUGAACGCUAGCUACAGGCUUAACACAUGCAAGUCGAGGGGUAACGAGAGGAAAGCUUGCUUUCCUUUUCGACGACCGGCGCACGGGUGAGUAACGCGUAUCCAACCAGCUCCCAACUAGGGACUAACCUUGCGAAAGUAAGACUAAUACCCUAUAAUUUCCUCAGAUGUCAUCUGACGAGGAAUAAAGAUUUAUCGGUUGUGGCUGGGGAUGCGUCUGAUUAGCUUGUUGGCGGGGUAACGGACCACCAAGGCAACGAUCAGUAGGGGUUCUGAGAGGUAGUUCCCCCACAUUGGAACUGGGACACGGUCCAAAAUACUACGGGAGGCAGCAGUCAGGAAUAUUGGUCAAUGGGCGAAAGCCUGAACCAGCCAAGUAGCGUGCAGGAUGACGGCCCUGUGGGUUGUAAGCUGCUUUUAUACAGGAAUAAAGUUUGCCACGUGUGGUUAUUUGUAGGUACUGUAUGAAUAAGGCCCGGCUAAUUCCGUGCCAGCCGCCGCCGUAAUAC